rnacentral:rRNA from 1 species
UACGGAGGGGGCUAGCGUUGUUCGGAAUUACUGGGCGUAAAGCGUGCGCAGGCGGCUUCUCAAGUCAGAUGUGAAAUCCCCGGGCUUAACCUGGGAACUGCGUUUGAAACUGGGAGGCUAGAGUGCGGCAGAGGGGGGUGGAAUUCCACGUGUAGCAGUGAAAUGCGUAGAUAUGCGGAGGAACACCGAUGGCGAAGGCAAUCCCCUGGACCUGUACUGACGCUCAUGCACGAAAGCGUGGGGAGCAAACAGG